rnacentral:snRNA from 1 species
AAAAAGUUUAAUAUCUGAUACGUCCCCUAUCUGGGGACCAUAUAUUAUAUUGAUUUUUGGAACAGGGAGAUGGAAUAGGGGCUUGCUCCGUCCACUCCACGCAUCGACCUGGUAUUGCAGUAUCUCCAGGAACGGUGC